rnacentral:rRNA from 1 species
AUGGAAGCAACGACAUGGACUUGCUCUGAAGUGUUGCACUGCAAAAAUGGCCAACUAGACUUACUCUGUUACAAAAAGGUGCGACACAGUUUUGAUGCAAAAAUGCUCCAAGGCCAAGAAAUGGCGUUAUGCACUAGAACUGGAGAUUUGUUGCUCCUUCCGAAUCAAAGAUGGCACUAUUUAUGCUGUGAUUGCUCCUGUGAUCUUACCAAUGCUUCGGUCAUUUUGUGGGUCGACUACCCUGCCGAUGAAGUGCAAAAGUCAGUGGAUCCCAGGAGCAUCACCAUGACUUCUUCUGACCUUCAGCCGCAAAAGAUUCUACUGGUGCUAGUAAUCAGCAAGAGAGCGCCGGCCAUGAGUGGUACAACGUCAUUUACAUGGUACAAUAAAGAUCAUUUUCAAGAAGGGAGGGGUGUCAUUGCCGUCGCCAUCGUCUCCGCGCAAGGCUUCGUCAGCCAUAGGACCUACUUCGGCUUCGACUGUGACGGCUACUUCUCCGUCGCCUUCUUCACCAAGGUUUUCAACAACCACAGCAACUACUUCAACCGGGUCUCAGUCGGCCAUGACUACUACUACCCCAGCUCCAACUGCUUCUCCAAGCUCCUUCAAGUCCAACCCAACUAUGGCUGCUACCGCGACAACCACCAUGGCGACCCCGGCACGAUCAAGGAUCUUCAAGUUCCAUGGGAUCCUGGCGAACUCUUCGUGCUAGCAGCUUGGGGGCAAGCCGCAUUUCAAGAAGGGAAGGAUGUCAGGGGCCUUAUAUCUCCUCCAUGUCAUGUGGGCUGGUCCUUUGGGCCUCCGGGUGGGGCCUGGCCCAUGUCACGAUCAGGGGCAGCUAACUACAAGUAUACUGCAGGAGGCUACGAGGAGAUCAUCCAGUGGAUCAACGAACCGGCGGCGGCGGCUACCUCUCUCCCCUAUCUCCCUCCUUUUCCUUUCCUCCAGUUCAUGUGUUCUUCCUCCAUUAGUGUAACCAUUCCUCUGUAA